rnacentral:lncRNA from 1 species
CAGUUGGUUGCAGGACUUUUGAAUUCAAAUAUAAGAAAGAAGAAAAAAUAUAAAGCAAAACUUGAAAUAUUACAUAUAAUAGGAUUUAUGAUAACUGCAGGAUAUCAGAUUGCAAUACAGCUUUUGUUCAGUUAUCUUUGUGUUGAUUAUUAUGUUUUAAAUCCCUUUCUGGUUCUUUGGAUGUUCAGAUUUUUUUCUCUUGAUUAAGGCAAGCAACAGAACUUGUACAACUUAUGUAGUUUCUUAUCUCAGGGUGAAUCCAGAAAAUUUUAAACAUAAGUGGUGGUAUUCUCAACCAAGGAUAAAAAGGAGGGUUCCAACUAUAUGCAUGAUCCCAUUCAAAUGCAUUAAUCUUCCAUAAAAAGAGGAGGUUCCAAUCACCAGACUCCCUGAGAUCUGCAACUGUAUCUUAAAGCAGCUAUAAUAAAACAAAAAUUGUACAUGUACUUCUGGCC